rnacentral:rRNA from 1 species
GUGAGGAAUAUUGGUCAAUGGACGGAAGUCUGAACCAGCCAAGUAGCGUGCAGGAUGACGGCCCUAUGGGUUGUAAACUGCUUUUAUGCGGGGGUAAAGUGAGUGACGUGUCAUUCAUUGCAAGUACCGCAAGAAUAAGGACCGGCUAAUUCCGUGCCAGCAGCCGCGGUAAUACGGAAGGUCCUGGUGUUAUCCGGAUUUAUUGGGUUUAAAGGGAGCGUAGGCCGUCAGGCAAGCGUGUUGUGAAAUGUCGUGGCUCAACCAUGGACUUGCAGCGCGAACUGCCCGACUUGAGUGCGCGGAAAGCAGGCGGAAUUUGUGGUGUAGCGGUGAAAUGCUUAGAUAUCACGAAGAACCCCGAUUGCGAAGGCAGCCUGCUGUAGCGCUACUGACGCUGAAGCUCGAAAGUGCGGGUAUCGAACAGGAUUAGAUACCCGAGUAGUCC